rnacentral:rRNA from 1 species
AGUAACGCGUGGAUAACCUGCCUCACACAGGGGGAUAACAGUUAGAAAUGACUGCUAAUACCGCAUAAGCGCACGGCAUCGCAUAAUGCAGUGUGAAAAACUCCGGUGGUGUGAGAUGGAUCCGCGUCUGAUUAGGUAGUUGGUGGGGUAACGGCCCACCAAGCCGACGAUCAGUAGCCGACCUGAGAGGGUGACCGGCCACAUUGGGACUGAGACACGGCCCAA